rnacentral:lncRNA from 1 species
ACAAAACUCGGCACACAGACUACUCUGGAGAGGUCAAAGGGCAAGGCAACCGAGCAAGAAAACUCCACAACAGCAACACCAGGCCUCCUGGCCGCGCAAGGUGUGAGGGCCUGGGAUCCUCCCUGCGCUCCGGCGUUGGGCCAAAGCCAGGAUGGAGCCCCCUGGGCAGGAGGCUGGGUCCGGGUAGGAGGUGACACAACACCGCCAUCACCCAACCCUGAAAGCGCCUCUGUGGUGGCGGGCGGGCCCGGCUCCCCUGCGGCCUCUCCUCCCCCCCUCACCCCUACCCCAACCCCCGUCCGUCUCGGCUCUUCCCAGGGCGCCGCUGCUCUGCUCCGCUCCGCGAGAGGGACGGGGCGGGAGGGGGGGCUGCUCGUCCAGGGUCGCUCACCGUCACGCGGGGCGCUGCGCCGUCCGGAGCUGCUCCCGCGCGCAGAGGCCCGAGGACAGUGUCACGGGGUCGGCACUCGCGACCGCUGCGGCUGGAGCGACAGGCCUGCAGGCGCCCGGCCGCCGCGGAUUCGGGGCGGGGGAGGGGCGGCCAGAGCACGGCAUCAGCUGAGGCCGGGCGCUGCUGCAACCUGCGUCCGCGCCUGCGCAGAGCGCUUCCGUAGGUGUGUGACCCAGGCGCGUGCACCACGCAUGCGUCCUUCUUACCCUUUGCUCCAGCCCGGAAGCGCAGCGGCGGCUCUAAUUUGUUCAGCCUGCGGGUUCUGUUGCCUUGGUCUCCCGAGACUCAGAGUGUGCAUGCCAGAAGAAGAGCUGUUCAUGUUUCAUCCUCCUUGACCCAUAAAAAAUGAUCAAGUUCCCUCAAUAAAAUACAUUUAAUUCUCCAAAAUGAUUGGUUGAUCAAAAAGCCUUCGAUGGAGUAGACUAAUGGCACAUUAGAAUAUAAUUGUGUAAAUCAUCACAGGUAGUGAUUUCCUUAAUCAUUUCAAAUCUUUUCUGAAUAAUAUGCAUUGCUCUGUGUUCUGAU